AAUAAGCUAUUUAAGAGCGUACGGUGGAUGCCUAGGCUCUCAGAGGCGAUGAAGGACGUGAUAAGCUGCGAUAAGCUGCGGGGAUUGGCACACACAAUUUGAUCCGCAGAUUUCCGAAUGGGGAAACCCACUAUAUUGAAGAUAUAGUAUCCGUUAAGGAAGCAAACCCAGGGAACUGAAACAUCUAAGUACCUGGAGGAAUAGAAAACAAAAGUGAUUCCGCUAGUAGUGGCGAGCGAACGCGGAAUAGCCCAAACCAAAAUUGUUUCGGCAAUUUUGGGGUUGUAGGACCACGUUAUUGAAUGUUCAAUGAAUUAGAAUUCUUUGGAAAAAGAAACCAUAGAGGGUGAUAGUCCCGUACAAGUAAAGAGAAUUAUUCAUAGUGGUAUCCUGAGUAGCGCGGGACACGUGUAAUCCUGUGUG
rnacentral:rRNA from 1 species